UAUGAUCAUGGCUCACUGCAGCCUUGAACUCCUAGGCUCAAGCGAUCCUCCCAACUCAGCCUCCCAAGUAGCCAGGGAUGCAGGCCCCCAUCAUGGCAGUUUUUCUAUCUUUUUGGUAGAGGCAGAGGCUCACUGUUGCUCAGGCUAGUCUUGAACUCUGGCCUCAAGCAGUCCACCCACUUGGCCUCCCGAAGUGCUGGGAUUACAGGCUUGAGCCACUGCAUCUGGCCCUGAACCCAGCUUUUAGGAAAGAGUGCAAACUAGUGGCCAGAGCUACCCAAAGAAACCAGUUGGUGCAGAGAGAGCUCUGGGGCCAGGGAACUUGAUGAGCCCUUCAGGGGAACACCCCCGACCCGCCAGCCGACUCUGUUGCCUGGAGGAGUCAGAAUUCCUUUGCUGUGACCACCUAAAGGAAAUUUCACCUAGCCUGGGAGUAACCCUUCACACACUUCCGUCCUGCCCUACUCCCCCUGACUACUGGACUGGGAUCCUGGGACCAGAGGGGAUCCCACAGCUUUUCAAAACGAUGGGACAGCUGGGGCGGGAAGAGCAAGCAGCACAGUGGGCUCUCCAAACACCAUCUCAAGGAACCUUUGCAAUCUGGAAAGUCAGGUCUUCCUCUUACAGAGCAGGAGCUGGUAAAUGGAAGCACCUGGAUUCAUACUUUAUCCUGACCACAGGCCCCUUUCUUAUAAGCUCCAGCUGAGCCAUGGAAAACAGGACCCAAGACAGCACUCCCUUCCUCAAGGAUAACCCCUACCCACCCCACCUCAGGAAGAGACGCAGAGUCAGUCUCCCCUGUGGGGACUGGGAGUCAGUCAGGUACUGUCAGGGUGGAAAUGAGAAGCUGGGCCCCCUUGCCCAGCCUGGUCUCCAGCAAGGCCUAGCUAGUGGCUCCCUGACCUCACUUCCCACACCACCUCCUCCCAUGACAGCCUGCCCAGGGAGAGAAGACACAGCCACAGGGACAAGGGGCUUCCAGCCCAGCUGAGAACACGGCUCUUUGCCCCUGACCUCCAGCCUCUUCUUCCCCUUGUUCCUUUCCCUUAGAGGACAGCUUUAUGGACUCCCCGGCUGACCUGUUGUAACUGCACCCCCAGAGCAGCCCCUCAGGAAGCUCUCACCCUCUGUGCCCAAUCCCUGGGGCAACUCCCCUGUACCUUUUUUAUUGGAUCCGAGUCUAGGACUGGCCCCAGGUGCCACAAGGGUGGCAGAUGCUGGGUAAGAACUCUGUACCCAGUUCAGAGGUCUGACUGCAGCUCCAACGAAGUCUCCAGCUAGCCGUGUGGCCUCAACAAGUCACUGGGCCACCUCAAUCCUGUUUCCUUAUCUGCCAAAAUGGGGCUAAGUCUGGCUUAUUUACUUCACUUGGCUGUUGAAAGAUGAAACAAGAUAAUGCUUGUAAAAUGGUCUGAGGAAAUACGAAGCUUUGCAAAAGUUUCAGACCGACCAGAACUGCCAUUUUCAGAGCGGCGGAGGCACCGGGUCAGAGCCGCUUGAGGACUAUGCUGGGCAGACAGGGUCGAGACAGGUGAUCUCACCGCUCCUGCCACAUGCUUCCCUACAGGCCUCAGCCUCCUUUUGCAAUAAAAUGACCCAGAUGCUGCAGGCUGGCAGCUCCAUCUCAGGUUUCAGUGCAGGUUUAUUUCAGUUUUAUAUUUUAUUCCAGGCAAGUGCUUAUUACAUGGAUAGUAUUCAUGUCUCGGUAACUAAAGUCUUGGAGCAUGAACAGCCACUAGAAUACAGUUCAAUAGUAAAAAUACAGUAUGUACAAAAUUAGGGUUUUUGUAGUUUUUUUUUUUUUCCACACAGCAGAUGUAUCCAAACACAUAAAAAUCUCUACAGUCUGGGGUCGCUACAGUUUAUAUUUCAGGAAA
rnacentral:lncRNA from 1 species